GACGAACGCUGGCGGCGUGCUUAACACAUGAAAGUCGAACGGAAAGGCCCUGCUUUUGCGGGGUGCUCGAGUGGAGAACGGGUGAGUAACACCUGAGUCACCUGUCCUUGACUUAGAGAUAUCUUAAGAAAACCGGGGUUAAUACCGCAUAAGAGCUAAUGCAGCCUGGUGGGGGUUGGAACGAUUCGGCGGGUGGGGAUGGACUCGCGACUUAUCAGCAUAUUGGUGGGGUAGUGGCUUACCAAGCCUUUGACGGGUAGCCGGCCUGAGAAGGUAACCCGCUACAUUGGUACAGAGAUACGGCCGACACUCCUAUGGGAGGCAGCAGUGAGUAAUAUUGCAUAAUGGUCGUAGACCUUACGCAGGCAGGCCAUGUGCGGAGUGACGGCCUUCGCGUUGUAGACCGCUUUGGCCGGUUACGAAGCGUGAUUGAUGUUAAUGGGUAAAGAAGCACCGGCUAAAUACGUG
rnacentral:rRNA from 1 species